GACGAACGCUGGCGGCAUGCCUAAUACAUGCAAGUCGAACGAUGAUAUCACUGCUUGCAGUGAUUGAUUAGUGGCGAACGGGUGAGUAACACGUGAGGAACUUGCCCAUGAGCGGGGGACAACAUUCGGAAACGGAUGCUAAUACCCCAUAGGUGGAUUGGUCGCAUGACGAAUUCAUUAAAGGUGGCUCUGCUACCACUCAUGGAUAGCCUCGCGGCGUAUUAGCUAGUUGGUAAGGUAAUGGCUUACCAAGGCAGUGAUACGUAGCCGACUUGAGAGGGUGAUCGGCCACACUGGGACUGAGACACGGCCCAGACUCCUACGGGAGGCAGCAGUAGGGAAUCUUCCACAAUGGGUGCAAACCUGAUGGAGCAAUGCCGCGGGAGUGAAGAAGGUCUUCGGAUCGUAAAGCGCUGUUGUUAGAGAAGAACACGUGCUAGGUAACUACUAGCGCCUUGACGGUAUCUAACCAGAAAGUCACGGCUAACUACGUG
rnacentral:rRNA from 1 species